rnacentral:rRNA from 1 species
GACGAACGCUGGCGGCGUGCUUAACACAUGCAAGUCGAACGGAAAGGCCCUGCUUGCAGGGUACUCGAGUGGCGAACGGGUGAGUAACACGUGGGUGAUCUGCCCUGCACUUCGGGAUAAGCCUGGGAAACUGGGUCUAAUACCGGAUAGGAGCCAAUUUUAGUGUGAUGGUUGGAAAGUUUUUUCGGUGUAGGAUGAGCUCGCGGCCUAUCAGCUUGUUGGUGGGGUAAUGGCCUACCAAGGCGGCGACGGGUAGCCGGCCUGAGAGGGUGGACGGCCACAUUGGGACUGAGAUACGGCCCAGACUCCUACGGGAGGCAGCAGUGGGGAAUAUUGCACAAUGGGCGCAAGCCUGAUGCAGCGACGCCGCGUGGGGGAUGACGGCCUUCGGGUUGUAAACUCCUUUCGCUAGGGACGAAGCUUUUUGUGACGGUACCUAGAUAAGAAGCACCGGCUAACUACGUG